rnacentral:rRNA from 1 species
CGGCAACAGCUCAAAUUUGAAAUCUGGCUUUCGGGCCCGAGUUGUAAUUUGUAGAGGAUACUUUUGAUGCGGUGCCUUCCGAGUUCCCUGGAACGGGACGCCAUAGAGGGUGAGAAUCCCGU